GAUUUUAUACUAAUUUUUAGUUAUUAAAUUUUUUUAAAAUUAGUAUAGGGAGUAAUACGCUUUCGUUUUUAGGGUUAUCUAGCUUGAGUUUUUAUUUAAAGGGAAACCCUUUAUUUGAUAUAAUAUUUUCUUAUAUUGGUUUUUAUUUCUUUAAUAGUAAGAAAUUGUGUAAUAACUUAAUUUUAUUUUUUAUAAAGUUUUACUUGUUUUUGUAUUAUAAGUAAAUUAAUAAAUUAGUAGGAUUUUUUUUUGGUUUUUGGAUUUUUUUGGAUUUUUUUGUUAUAAAUUAUUUUAGUUUGCUGAUUUUUUUUUAGACUGGUUAAUAAAAUCUUAGCUAAAAGAUUUUUAGUCACCCCUGCUCUAUGCUCUUUGUAAAUGGCUGUUUAUUAACACUAAGGUAGCAAAAUCAUUAGUUAUUUAAUUAGUAACUUGUAUGAAUGGGGCUUCUAAGAAUAUAUUAUUUUUGUUUUUGAAUUUAUAUAUUUGUUGAAAAUAACAAUAUAUACCUUAAGACUAAAAGACCCUAAAAUUUUUAUAAUUUUAAAAUUAUUUGGUUGGGGUAAUAAAAUAUUUUUAAAUAUAUUUAUCUUUUUAUUUCUAUGAACUUUUAUAUAAAGAUAAAUUGUAAAAUACUUUAGGGAUAACAGCUUAAUUAUUUUUAAGAGAUCUUAUUAAUAAAAUAGUUUUAGACCUCGAUGUUGGAUUGAGAAGACUUUUUGGGGUAG
rnacentral:rRNA from 1 species